GUAUUCUAGUUUAUUAUUAACUAAUUGUAGACAAUUUUUAAGAAAAGUAGUAAAUAGUAUAUGACGAAGAAGGAUCGGGCGCGGACGCUUUCCCCCUCUCCACCUACAGUGCACACAAGGUGGGUAAUGGAUUUAAAGUGCCAUUAAACACUCAUUGUGAAUGAUCCUUCCGCAGGUUCACCUACGGAAA
rnacentral:misc_RNA from 1 species